rnacentral:snRNA from 1 species
GUGCUCACUUCGGCAGCACAUAUACUAAAAUUGGAAUGACACAGAGAUUAGCAUGGCCCCCAAACAAGGAUGACAUGCAAAUAUUUGAAGUGUCCAUGUUUUUA